GGAGUUAGCCGGUGCUUCUUCUGUGAGUGAUGUCCUUCCUGCCGGUUAUUGACCCGCAGGCCUUCUUCCUCACUGAAAGUGCUUUACAACCCGAAGGCCUUCUUCACACACGCGGCAUGGCUGGAUCAGGGUUGCCCCCAUUGUCCAAUAUUCCCCACUGCUGCCUCCCGUAGGAGUCUGGGCCGUGUCUCAGUCCCAGUGUGGCUGAUCAUCCUCUCAGACCAGCUACGGAUCGUCGCCUUGGUGAGCCGUUACCUCACCAACCAGCUAAUCCGACAUAGGCUCAUCCGAUAGCGCGAGGCCCGAAGGUCCCCCGCUUUCCCCCGUAGGGCGUAUGCGGUAUUAGCCUGGGUUUCCCCAGGUUAUCCCCCACUACCGGGCAGAUUCCUAUGCAUUACUCACCCGUCCGCCGCUCGCCACCAGGGAGCAAGCUCCCCGUGCUGCCGCUCGACUUGCAUGUGUAGCNGCCGCCAGCGUCAUCUGAGCAGAUACAACUACUGA
rnacentral:rRNA from 1 species